rnacentral:rRNA from 1 species
CCUACGGGAGGCUGCAGUGGGGAAUAUUGGACAAUGGGGGCAACCCUGAUCCAGCCAUGCCGCGUGUGUGAAGAAGGCCCUCGGGUUGUAAAGCACUUUCAGUGAGGAAGAACGCCUGGUGGUUAAUACCCAUCAGGAAAGACAUCACUCACAGAAGAAGCACCGGCUAACUCCGUGCCAGCAGCCGCGGUAAUACGGAGGGUGCGAGCGUUAAUCGGAAUUACUGGGCGUAAAGCGCGCGUAGGUGGCUUGAUAAGCCGGUUGUGAAAGCCCCGGGCUCAACCUGGGAACGGCAUCCGGAACUGUCAAGCUAGAGUGCAGGAGAGGAAGGUAGAAUUCCCGGUGUAGCGGUGAAAUGCAUAGAGAUCGGGAGGAAUACCAGUGGCGAAGGCGGCCUUCUGGACUGACACUGACACUGAGGUGCGAAAGCGUGGGUAGCAAACAGGAUUAGAUACCCGUGUAGUC